CACGUAGGCGGAUGUGUCAGUCAGGGGUGAAAUCCCGGGGCUCAACCUCGGAACUGCCUUUGGUACAGCACGUCUUGAGUCCGAUAGAGGUGGGUGGAAUUCCUAGUGUAGAGGUGAAAUUCGUAGAUAUUAGGAAGAACACCGGUGGCGAAGGCGGCCCACUGGAUCGGUACUGACGCUGAGGUGCGAAAGCGUGGGGAGCAAACA
rnacentral:rRNA from 1 species